rnacentral:rRNA from 1 species
UACGUAGGGUGCAAGCGUUGUCCGGAAUUAUUGGGCGUAAAGAGCGUGUAGGCGGCCCGGUAAGUCCGCUGUGAAAGUCCAGGGCUCAACCCUGGGAUGCCGGUGGAUACUGUCGGGCUCGAGUCCGGAAGAGGAGUGUGGAAUUCCUGGUGUAGCGGUGAAAUGCGCAGAUAUCAGGAGGAACACCAAUGGCGAAGGCAGCACUCUGGGACGUGACUGACGCUGAGACGCGAAAGCGUGGGGAGCAAAACGG